AAUAGAAAAAGAGCCUAAGCAUUAUAUGGGACAACUUGUGGAUUGCCUAUUUUACCCCUAUCAUAUAUUUUAUAUUAUAUAUUUAUAAAAUAAAUCUAAUAGCUUAUUGCAUUAGUUACAUGUAUCGGAUCUUUUAAUAAUUCAAACUAAACGUAUUUUACAUGAAAUUAUAAAUAUGAUAAGAGUAGAAUUCUAAUAGCGUUAGAAUUCUCUCUCUCUCUCUCUCUCAAGCUUCAAGAUGACUGGGAUUUGAUAUUCUCUUUGACAUUGUACGACAGUGAAUCAAUUUGUGAGCCGGAACCAGAUGCUCUCGAUGAGGGCGAAACUACAUAUCUAUGCACGUCCCCUAUCAAGCGUCGUGCAUUCGUAAGCCCUCAAACUACAAACUGCAACGACGUCAUUUAUUGUUUCGAUCAAACCCUUCUCCGAGGUUGCCUCUCUCUCUACAUCUUCCAUUCUAUUCCCUGACCAUACCCACUCUGCUGCUAUUUCUCUCCCGCCUCUCUUGGAAAUAUCUCAUGCAAGCGCCGUGCAUUCAUAUUAGCUUGCUUUAUGUGACCAUCCUGCUCUCUUGGAUAAAUCUGAAACACAGUUUAUUUAGGCAUCCUAUUCUUCCUUGCCACCAAAACCCACCCACAAGAGAAGCUCAGCAGAUAUUCGUUCUCCCAAAUCUCUGGCCGUAUACAACAACCUCUCCGCCGCUGCCGUGCUUCACCGCCGCUGUUAGUCAUUCUCCGGUCGCCGCCUCCUCUCUUCGAAGGCUGUUUGACGUCACCCGACAAGUUAAACACUUCGAAGAGAACCAUUCCGUUCGAUUUCUCGCUUAAUUAGUCGGGCAGAGAAGCUUGAAGGUGAUCUGUCAAGGUCGCCGCUGUCGACUGGAAUUUCAUAAUUUGCUCCGCACAUGGGUACGCC